UACAAGCAGUGGGAGCACCCUUUGGGGUGUGACUGCGUACCUUUUGUAUAAUGGGUCAGCGACUUAUAUUCUGUAGCAAGGUUAACCGAAUAGGGGAGCCGGAGGGAAACCGAGUCUUAAUUGGGCGUUAAGUUGCAGGGUAUAGACCCGAAACCCGGUGAUCUAGCCAUGGGCAGGUUGAAGGUUGGGUAACACUAACUGGAGGACCGAACCGACUAAUGUUGAAAAAUUAGCGGAUGACCUGUGGCUGGGGGUGAAAGGCCAAUCAAACCGGGAGAUAGCUGGUUCUCCCCGAAAGCUAUUUAGGUAGCGCCUCGUGAAUUCAUCUCCGGGGGUAGAGCACUGUUUCGGCUAGGGGGCCAUCCCGGCUUACCAACCCGAUGCAAACUGCGAAUACCGGAGAAUGUUAUCACGGGAGACACACGGCGGGUGCUAACGUCCGUCGUGAAGAGGGAAACAACCCAGACCGCCAGCUAAGGUCCCAAAGUCAUGGUUAAGUGGGAAACGAUGUGGGAAGGCCCAGACAGCCAGGAUGUUGGCUUAGAAGCAGCCAUCAUUUAAAGAAAGCGUAAUAGCUCACUGGUCGAGUCGGCCUGCGCGGAAGAUGUAACGGGGCUAAACCAUGCACCGAAGCUGCGGCAGCGACGCUGAUGCGUUGUUGGGUAGGGGAGCGUUCUGUAAGCCUGCGAAGGUGGCCUGUGAGGGUUGCUGGAGGUAUCAGAAGUGCGAAUGCUGACAUAAGUAACGAUAAAGCGGGUGAAAAGCCCGCUCGCCGGAAGACCAAGGGUUCCUGUCCAACGUUAAUCGGGGCAGGGUGAGUCGACCCCUAAGGCGAGGCCGAAAGGCGUAGUCGAUGGGAAACGGGUUAAUAUUCCCGUACUUGGUGUUACUGCGAAGGGGGGACGGAGAAGGCUAUGUUGGCCGGGCGACGGUUGUCCCGGUUUAAGCGUGUAGGUGUGUGUUCCAGGUAAAUCCGGUUCACUUUAACACUGAGGCGUGAUGACGAGGCACUACGGUGCUGAAGCAACAAAUGCCCUGCUUCCAGGAAAAGCCUCUAAGCAUCAGGUAACAUCAAAUCGUACCCCAAACCGACACAGGUGGUCAGGUAGAGAAUACCAAGGCGCUUGAGAGAACUCGGGUGAAGGAACUAGGCAAAAUGGUGCCGUAACU
rnacentral:rRNA from 1 species